CAGGGUGUUUUUUUACAGUCAUCGUUUGCACCCAUCGGCCACCCGUGAAAAUAUCUCCUCUCCCUUGCCUUCUCUCACGUGCUCUCCCCUCCCCUGAUCCCCUCCUUCCCUACCGUCACGCCGCCGGCUCCACGCAGCGGCCGACGCGGCCUUCUCUCCCCGGCGCUUGAGGUACAGCAGCGGCUGCGGCACUUCUCGGCCCAGCCGGAUCCGGUGCAGGUCGCCGGCAUCACGCGCCGCGUGCCGUGAUUCUGGAUCGGGCGCAGAUCUUGCCACCUAUCCUCCUCUCUCUCUCCCAUGUCGCCAUUGUUGCAAGGAGCAGGGGAGAUAGGUGCCGAGGACAAGAAGCAACGGGUUGGUCAGGGUGGGCUUGAGCUGCUGGGGAGAUGGAGGAGGCCGUCGUGGUUCGUCAUGGAGGCGGCGCCGCCGGCAAGCUGGUUGAGAAAACCAAAUCUGCACCAUGCCGCCUCACCCUCUCAGAUUACUGUUUCAUCCCUUUGAUAGUUUUUUAGCACAGAGGAAUGAGGAAUGGAUACAUGAGGCAUGGCGUAAGCGUAGGGGUCAGCCAGGGCACGACGCAAGAGUCUGCCCAUCUCCUCUCAAACACGAAAGGCACUAAUGCGUCCCGAAAACCUAGCGCACAAAGGACCAAUCCUUCCCUUCCUCGAGCCCCAUUCGAGUCCGCGCCGUUCAGCAUCUCCAGCCUCCCCUGCUCCUCGACCCUCCGGCCCCACGGCCUCUCGCGCCGCCGCCUUCUUCCCUGGACGUCUUCCCCGACGCUCGUGGUGCAGCAGCGGCCAUUGCAGUAGCCGCUGGAACUGAUGGAUAUUGACAUGGGUAACAAAAUAGUUGAAAGAUUUUGUACCGACGAGGCUCUUGAGACUACAAACAUUUCUUCACUCCUUGUACGAAAGGAUUCUAGGACUAAGUUAUAGGAUUUUAUAUUUUAGUCGGAUAUUCCUUCUGUUAAUAUGUGCUCCUGUGCAAUUUUUCAUAGGCUUCUCUUUCCUUUUUCUGGUUACGAUUUACAAAGCUGAGCAAUAGUUUCUCUACUAAUAUAGCUUGUGUGAAAAACAUCCGUCUUUAGGAUGCUUUUGCGGCAUGUGUAACUGCCUCACAUUAGCCUAUGCUUCUAUCCGAGUUGUUUACUACUAAGACCAUAAUGGAUCAUGCUUUUUAACUGGCAUAUAAGUGUUGAUGGAAAAUGAUGUCUUAUUUUUUGCCUGGUAAAUUUUAAUUGGCGCAUGCAAUCCAUGCUUCCCAGUCUUUGGUGACAAUGUUGUCAGGCCUAAAAUUAGAAGUUUUCGAUUUCCUCUCUCUGGUUUUUAGUUGGUUAGAUGUUAAUGCGUGGAAAUGUAUAUGCUGGUUUUUUUUCCUGUUUUAAUAAAUUGCUAAUACGUGGAUCUUGUCUGCUUUGCAUGGACUAUAGUAUAUAUUCACAGACUUUGUCUGCUUGCUUCAAAACUAAAAUGUGACUUUUACUUGCCUAUUACCAAAGAAGAUUUCAUGCAUGCCACAUCAAGUCGCCAUAGAUGCCUCCAAGUGAAAUUUCAGCGACGACAAGAUUUGGCAUCAUAUUGCCCAGUAACUGAAUGUGCACGCAGGAGGAUCACUCUGGAUGAUGGAAAAUGCAUUAUCCGUGGUAAGAAGCUAACGGUGUCGCCCCAUUUAUACCACAUUUAGGCAUGAUAAUUAAAUUAGCCUUCAAAUUAAAUAGAUGUCCGCAUUCAUGGGUACAUAGAUGAGCUGAGCUACUAUUUUCUUGUUUGGGAAUGAGGUAACACUAUACAAACAGCAUGUUGACACUCUGAACAGCUUAAUACUAGACGGAAACAAAAUUUCUCUUCCUACUAUGUCUGUACCAUGAACAAGAUGUUCGCAACAAGUGGUCAACAAAUGGUAUUCUGUUCCUGUCCUUUCUCCUUUUUAUGAAUCUUCAUAGCUGCAUCUUAACCAUGCUUAAUAUCUAUUGCAGUACUUUUCCACUCACUUCACACAAGAAUAUCUCAAGGGGCACAUGCAUGAAGAGCAUACUAAUUUGCUGAUCAAAGCUGGAAACAGACCUGCCAUCGUCAUUGCUCGGCUUAUCAUACAAUCACAAGAAGCUGGACUCAGUUCUUUGACAUCGCAAAUAUGAAAGGAGGAGUGUCAUAUGCAUUUGCCUUUGAGGAAUUGGCGGGAGAACUCAUAUCAUCGUGCACUCCCUUUGAUAGCGUCAUGAGCAACCACUGCCAUCAUCUCAUAAUAUAGCUCAGGACCGAUGAUGGCGUAUUGAAGGUUUUCAUGGAUUUGAGAACAUGUAAAAUAGAGUGAGUAUUGGAUUGUUUGAGAUAUUUUGUAAGGUAUUUUUAAAUCUGCUAGUCAUCUUGGACCUUUCCAUUAACCAAAAAUGAUAAAGAAAAUGAGUUGGAUGAAAUUCAUAUAUGUUCGGCUGAAAAAUAAUUAUACUUUUUAUUAUUAUAUAAGACCUUAGUUGAACUCUCUGCACUGA